rnacentral:rRNA from 1 species
UGGGUAGUCCGCACGAGCGCACCUUGAUCUUAGUUGCCAGCAUUCAGUUGGGCACUCUAAGGUGACUGCCGGUGACAAACCGGAGGAAGGUGGGGAUGACGUCAAAUCAUCAUGCCCCUUAUGACCUGGGCUACACACGUGCUACAAUGGAUGGUACAAAGGGCAGCGAAGCCGCGAGGCAUUAGCAAAUCCCAUAAAACCAUUCUCAGUUCGGAUUGUAGGCUGCAACUCGCCUACAUGAAGCCGGAAUCGCUAGUAAUCGCGGAUCAGCAUGCCGCGGUGAAUACGUUCCCGGGCCUUGUACACACCGCCCGUCACACCACGAGAGUUGGCAACACCCGAAGUCGGUGAGGUAACCUUUGGAGCCAGCCGCCGAAGGUGGGGCCAAUGAUUGGGGUGAAGUCGUAACAAGGUAGCCGUAUCGGAAGGUGCGGCUGGAUCACCUCCUUUCU